rnacentral:rRNA from 1 species
UACGAAGGGGGCUAGCGUUGCUCGGAAUCACUGGGCGUAAAGCGCACGUAGGCGGAUCUUUAAGUCAGGGGUGAAAUCCCAAGGCUCAACCUUGGAACUGCCUUUGAUACUGGGGAUCUCGAGUCCGGAAGAGGUGAGUGGAACUGCGAGUGUAGAGGUGAAAUUCGUAGAUAUUCGCAAGAACACCAGUGGCGAAGGCGGACACUCUGGGACGGUACUGGACGCUGAGACGCG